CAUAUCAAUAAGCGGAGGAAAAGAAACUAACAAGGAUUCCCCUAGUAACUGCGAGUGAAGCGGGAAAAGCUCAAAUUUAAAAUCUGGCGGUCUUUGGCUGUCCGAGUUGUAAUCUAGAGAAGUGUUAUCCGCGCUGGACCGUGUACAAGUCUCCUGGAAUGGAGCGUCAUAGAGGGUGAGAAUCCCGUCUUUGACACGGACUGCCAGGGCUUUGUGAUGCGCUCUCAAAGAGUCGAGUUGUUUGGGAAUGCAGCUCAAAAUGGGUGGUAAAUUCCAUCUAAAGCUAAAUAUUGGCGAGAGACCGAUAGCGAACAAGUACCGUGAGGGAAAGAUGAAAAGAACUUUGGAAAGAGAGUUAAACAGUACGUGAAAUUGCUGAAAGGGAAACGCUUGAAGUCAGUCGCGUUGUCCAGGGAUCAACCUUGCUUUUGCUUGGUGCACUUUCUGGUUGACGGGUCAGCAUCAAUUUUGACUAUUGGAAAAAGAUUAGGGGAAUGUGACAUCUUCGGAUGUGUUAUAGCCCUUGGUUGCAUACAAUGGUUGGGAUUGAGGAACUCAGCACGCCGCAAGGCCGGGUUUUUAACCACGUACGUGCUUAGGAUGCUGGCAUAAUGGCUUUAAUCGACCCGUCUUGAAACACGGACCAAGGAGUCUAACAUGCCUGCGAGUGUUUGGGUGGAAAACCCGAGCGCGUAAUGAAAGUGAAAGUUGAGAUCCCUGUCGUGGGGAGCAUCGACGCCCGGACCAGACCUUUUGUGACGGAUCCGCGGUAGAGCAUGUAUGUUGGGACCCGAAAGAUGGUGAACUAUGCCUGAAUAGGGUGAAGCCAGGGGAAACCCUGGUGGAGGCUCGUAGCGAUUCUGACGUGCAAAUCGAUCGUCAAAUUUGGGUAUAGGGGCGAAAGACUAAUCGAACCAUCUAGUAGCUGGUUCCUGCC
rnacentral:rRNA from 1 species